GGGAAUCCUGUGUGGGCCCUUGUGGGUGUUGGGCGAGACUCCGCUGGCAAGGUACCUCGGGGCUUGAGUGGAACAGAAGGGGCUUGUGCCCCAGGUCAGGCCCGGGU
ensembl:miRNA Gm27306 predicted gene, 27306